UAGGGAAUCUUCGGCAAUGGACGAAAGUCUGACCGAGCAACGCCGCGUGAGUGAAGAAGGUUUUCGGAUCGUAAAACUCUGUUGUUAGAGAAGAACAAGGACGUUAGUAACUGAACGUCCCCUGACGGUAUCUAACCAGAAAGCCACGGCUAACUACGUGCCAGCAGCCGCGGUAAUACGUAGGUGGCAAGCGUUGUCCGGAUUUAUUGGGCGUAAAGCGAGCGCAGGCGGUUUCUUAAGUCUGAUGUGAAAGCCCCCGGCUCAACCGGGGAGGGUCAUUGGAAACUGGGAGACUGGAGUGCAGAAGAGGAGAGUGGAAUUCCAUGUGUAGCGGUGAAAUGCGUAGAUAUAUGGAGGAACAACAGUGGCGAAGGCGGCUCUCUGGUCUGUAACUGACGCUGAGGAUCGAGAGCGUGGGGAGCAAACAGG
rnacentral:rRNA from 1 species